GACGGACCAGUUCCUGAUCUUUGUUGGACGGGACAGGGUCACCACUCCCUUGUAUUUUGGGAUUUGUGUAUUUUAAUGGGAUUUAUGGAUAUUUACCGUAAAGUACAAUGAUAGACCAGUUCCUGCUUUUGUUGGACGGGGCGGAGUCGCCACUCCCUUGUACAUGUAUAUCGGGAUUUGUGUAUUUUAAAGUCAUUUAUUGAUAUUUACGGUGCGUCUUGUAGUGACGGACCAGUUCCUGAUCUUUGUUGGACGGGACAGGGUCACCACUCCCUUGUAUAUCGGGAUUUGUGUAUUUUAAUGGGAUUUAUGGAUAUUUACCGUAAAUGAUGGACCAGUUCCUGCUUUUGUUGGAUGGGGCGGAGUCGCCACUCUCUUGUACAUGUAUAUCGGGAUUUGUGUAUUUUAAAGUCAUUUAUUGAUAUUUAUGGUGCGUCUUGUAGUCACGGAUGCUUGUGUUAGAGAAAAUUGGCUACAGGCAAGGACAGCCUCAGCCUGACAUGUGUUAAUCAUAUGAUUGUUGACUGUUGAGUUGGGGGACUACUGUUUGUUAUCCAUUGUACCUGUAGAAUGGACACAAUGCAGUAUCAGAACUUACUUGUUCUAGUAAUUAGGUAAUUUUAUCUCCCUUCUCUCAUUCCAGACUCGGUUGCAAUGGAAGUUGAUGUUCUCGUUUUCCUGGUGUAUGGCAGCUUAAGUGAAGCAUGGAUUUCAACAAAUAAGCGAGUAGGAAACUUGCCAUUAUUGAUUUUACCAGAUAGCACUGCUAUUUUUCCAUUACUAAAUGCAGUUUUGUUUUUAUUGAUAA
rnacentral:lncRNA from 1 species